UACGUAGGCAGCAAGCGUUGUUCGGAAUUACUGGGCGUAAAGAGUGUGUAGGCGGUGCUCUAAGUUCGGUGUGAAAUCUCCCGGCUUAACUGGGAGGGUGCGCCGGAAACUGGAGUGCUCGAGCGUGGGAGAGGAAAGCGGAAUUCCUGGUGUAGCGGUGAAAUGCGUAGAUAUCAGGAGGAACACCUGCGGUGUAGACGGCUUUCUGGACCAUUGCCGACGCUGAGACACGAAAGCGUGGGUAGCAAACAGG
rnacentral:rRNA from 1 species